rnacentral:rRNA from 1 species
GAUGAACGCUGGCGGCGUGCUUAACACAUGCAAGUCGAACGAAGCACUUCGGACAGAUUCUUCGGAUGAAGUCCUUAGUGACUGAGUGGCGGACGGGUGAGUAACGCGUGGGUAACCUGCCUCAUACAGGGGGAUAACAGUUAGAAAUGGCUGCUAAUACCGCAUAAGCGCACGGUACCGCAUGGUACAGUGUGAAAAACUCCGGUGGUAUGAGAUGGACCCGCGUUGGAUUAGCUAGUUGGCAGGGUAACGGCCUACCAAGGCGACGAUCCAUAGCCGGCCUGAGAGGGUGGACGGCCACAUUGGGACUGAGACACGGCCCAGACUCCUACGGGAGGCAGCAGUGGGGAAUAUUGCACAAUGGGGGAAACCCUGAUGCAGCGACGCCGCGUGAGUGAAGAAGUAUUUCGGUAUGUAAAGCUCUAUCAGCAGGGAAGAAAAUGACGGUA